rnacentral:rRNA from 1 species
GUAGGGUGCAGGCGUUAAUCGGAAUUACUGGGCGUAAAGCGUGCGCAGGCGGUUAUGCAAGACAGAUGUGAAAUCCCCGGGCUCAACCUGGGAACUGCAUUUGUGACUGCAUAGCUAGAGUACGGUAGAGGGGGAUGGAAUUCCGCGUGUAGCAGUGAAAUGCGUAGAUAUGCGGAGGAACACCGAUGGCGAAGGCAAUCCCCUGGACCUGUACUGACGCUCAUGCACGAAAGCGUGGGGAGCAAACAGGAUUAGAUACCCUGGUAGUCCACGCCCUAAACGAUGUCAACUGGUUGUUGGGAGGGUUUCUUCUCAGUAACGUAGCUAACGCGUGAAGUUGACCGCCUGGGGAGUACGGCCGCAAGGUUG